rnacentral:rRNA from 1 species
GCCACAACCGCCCCUCCCCAAACCACCGCGCGCCGCCGCGCCCCUGCCUGCGAGCACCAUGGGCGUCGACCACCUCUGCCCUCCGCCGCCUUGUGACCUCCUUCUUCGCUGCGGUGGCCGGAUCCACAACCCCCCGGCCCCGGUGACCUCCUGCUGCGCCGCCUCGACUGGAUCCAGUCGUCCUCCUGCCGGAGCCCCCCAUCCUGACCCGGCACCGCCAAUCCCUCCAGCACCUUGGAUCUGCGUCGUCUUCGCCGCUGGGGCCAGCACCACCCCUCCCCCGCGUUGAGGUCGCCAUGGCCCUCUCCUCCCCAGAUCCGGCGAGCACCCCGUGGCCCUCUCCUCCCUAGCUCCUAUGCAGAUCACCUUAUGGGCCCUCGCGGUUUCCGCCUCCCCUUCCUCUUCAGCAUGCAGUUCGGUGCCGCCUACAUCUGCAGGGAUGCGCUGCAGUUCGGCUGCUUGAGGCGUGCAGCUCCAUUUGCCCGGGUACGCGGUCCAGUAGCUCGCCCCGUGCAGUUCCUUGGAGCCGAGCUCCACGACGACGGCGGCCGCGCCUCGCCUCGCCAGCUCCAUGAAGCCUUCUGCUCCACCUCGCCACUACAACAAAUCACACGGGCGCGCCAGCUACUCAACUGGUCCGAUCCAGCCUCGCGGGAGCUACAGUUUGGCAGAACAGCACAUGACGAUGCAGUACGUUUCGGGUGCGCGUGCAGUCGUCGGGUGAUUUCCUUGCCGAGGAGCUAAUCAUCUCGGCCGCAGUUCGGUAAUCACUGUCGUGUGCCCCACGCCGGCAUUUUUUUGUUUCUACAGUUUGGUACCCAUCGUCUUGUGCAGUUCUCCCUUAAUCGCUGAUGGGAGGCAAGUGCAGCGGGGUUGUUGUGAGCAGUGGAAGGCGAUUUUUGCAACGUGCUUGUGGUAUGUACAGUCGGCGCCAUCGUCAGAGGAUUCAUCGUGCCGUGGAGCAGGCGUCCAGGCUGAACCAGGCCGUGUCGUCGGUUGAUGUAGGGUGGAACCCUAUACGGCCGAUCUUUCACGAAAGGAGCGGAUCCCACGAAGAACACGAAGAACACAAGGGGAAAAUCACAAAGGGAGACACAAGAGAAACACUCAAACCAACGAGAUUAGGUCACACAUGUGCUAGAUCCUCGAAACACGAGAGGAGAUACAAGAUUCACGAUCAAUAAAGGACGAUACAAAGGUAACCGGUUCUUCUCCUAGAGGAGGUCUUAAUGGGGCCACCCAAGAGGGGGUCUUGAAUCCAAAGGGAUCUUCUCCAUAGAGGGGCUGUGGUCUCUCUCGUGGAGUAGAUCUGUAAUGGAUGAGCAAAUCUUUAUCUUACAUAUGAGCUAAACCUAUGCUAACCCUAGAAAGGAUGAGGGGGAGGUCUAUUUAUAGUCUAGAACCACGAAGGGGUAAGUGAGGGGCGAAGGGGUACAUGGGCCUCGGGCCCGAUCUUUGUGCGCAGACAGGCGUCGGACGUCCGGAGGCUCACGAAGGGCCGGUCGUUUGGAAGUCUUCGGACUUCCACUAUUUUCCUUCUAUCGUCGUGGCACCGGUCGUCCGGUGGCGCUCGGUCGUCCGGGGCCUGGGAGGUGUCGGACGUCCGGUCUCGGUCGGUCGUCCGGUCGCUGUAGAGUUCCUCGGCUGUAGCUGUUUUGGCAGGCUGAACCUCUAGGCGUCAGACGUCCGGUAAGGAUCAGUCGUCCGGUGGCUGUGACUUGUUGUCAGCCCUUUCUCUUGUUCCUCGCGCUUAGUGUCCUCGCCGUCUUGUCCAAUGCUCCUAGCUGAUCCAUGGCCUUCCUCCUGGUUCCUGGACAUGCAUAGCUCACACGUUUGAGGUAGUAGCCAUGUCUCACAUGUAGAAAGUGAAGGUUCGGUGAGGAGCGAGUUAACCUUGUGUCCAAUGGCGUAUGUUCGAGGUCUCAUCUUAUGUACCCUUGGCUCAUGGGGAGUGGUCGAAGUGGACAUGAGGAUGAUCGUAGGAUGCUCCGCAUCAUCUCCCCCCCCCCUUGGGAAAGAUCCGCCCUCGGAUCGUGAUCCUCAUCAUCAUGGAAACGGUUGUCAUGGACGGACUUGUAGUUGGACAGAGUUGAAGACAUUGCGCAAUCCAAGUACUCUAAGGUGUCGCCGGAGUGGUAUACAUGCAAAAAAGCAGACACAAACAACACCUGGAAAUACAAUGGUUAGCGCACACAAAGUGUCCAUCAUGUAAGAAUGAGUCUGUGUAGCAAGAUUGUGCAUGACAAAGCGCAUGAAUCUUAUCAAGAUGAUCUAGAAUGAUAUGCAAAACAUUCAUGGGAGCAAACGCAAU